ensembl:lncRNA
AACCUGCAUGGGGGAAGGUUAGGCGGAAAAGAGGAAUUUACAGAGUAUUAGCAGAAAUUAGCCAAUACCGACACAAGCUCAAUUAGUUUUUUUUUUUUUUUUUUUUUUUUUUUUUUUUGGGUCUCUGUUGGCUGUUCUUGAACGUGAGUAAACGCUGUGCAGAGAGGGAGAGCCACAGCACACUGCCAUCUCCGAGCCGCAGCCAGGAGAUGGACUGACAGAUUGCAAAUUAAAAUAGUCCUAAUGUAAGAAUUAAUGCAGCCCCCCAAAUCUCUAAGAACACGAGCCCUUUAGUAACGAGCCCGGCGCUGAAGGAGCGUUGCUGCUGCCUGGGCUGGUUCUGCGUUAUGGAGAGAGGCUAGGGAGGGACAAUAAAGCAAGUCACGGGCAGAGAAAAUCACAAGGUGGAGUUGAAUACUAUGCCUGCAUUUGUGGUUAGCUGCAAGCAAUGCAUUAUGAAGAUGAUGGUAUUCAGCCACACACUCAAACAAUUUGAUUCAGACAAGAUUUUGACCGGUGUGUGAAGAACAGGUGGUUUGAACAAUGGAGAUCUGUGAUGUCCCAGCUUUUUGGAAACUUUUAUGCUCAAGCCAAGAGGUUACUAUAGAUGGAGCUAAUCUGCACUGGUGGUGUGCUCCAGCUGUGGCUGGGCCAAGCUGGGCCACGGAGAGCCCAUGGGAUCUGCUGAAGGAACCACCAAGAUCUGCUGUGGGAGCACACGACUACGAGUGGCCCAGCUAUCGAGUGCCUGAGAAUAAGUGGUUUCUUCCACAGGAAAUGACCAGGUAUGUGUUAAAGAGAGCUGAAGAAAAGAGGAAGAACAUGGCUGUAUUGUGAGACUGAGCAGUUUGUGAAAAUUUUCCAUUUCAGCUCGUAYAAACGUGCAUGCCUUUUAGAGAUAGUAAUAAGCAUUUGAGUGUGAAUCUUGCUAAAUAUUAUGAGAUGCCCAGAUGUUGUGGCAACGGAUAACACAUACAAAUACUUAUCACAACAUAUAAAUAAGCAAACAAAAACAAUUACUAAAGGCACUUAAAUGUUAAGCGCUCUGUAUCAUCUUCUCAUCACCAAUUUUUUGCAGUGCUUUAGGUAUAACUGCUCACCCAGGAACAAACAGCAGAAAGAUACUGAUAGUUCUUUAAAAUAACAUAAAUCCUAUGAGCUGGAGUCUAGUCCCACUGAAAUUACUUUGGGUUUUGCCAUUGGUUUCAAUAGAAUGAGGCUAGGACUUUGUAUUUUCCAAAUCAGGGGCAUAUCAUUCAUCCUCAUUGUGGCAGACAUGUUAUAACAUUAACACAGUGAAGGGGCUCACCAUACAAGUUACAUCAAUAUGCAGUUUAAAUAUGUUUAGUGUAAUGUUUAUAUCUUUUUUAUUCACUUUUAUGCGAGCCUAAUACAGCCAGCCUCAUAAAGCUCACUCUUGCACCAGAUUAAAGUGGUGUCUUUGUAACGUUUACUGGUUGCUCAUAAAUCACGGUGGCACUUUGUUACUGUCCACAAGCAGUUUUUUGUGCUAAAGGUUUCAAUCAUUAAGAUGUACAGUAUUAUCUCAGGCAUAGUUUUAGUCCUGGAGAAAUUAUGCUGAGAGAUGCUUUUGUAUGUAUGGCAUUUGUAGAAAAUAGUGUGCCUACGUUUGAAAGCUGAUACAUAUGAUACCAUUAGCUGCUGCAUUAACAAGCACUUUAACUAAAUAUACAGAAAAUUCUCUUGUGUAUUUAUGCCGUGCAGUAAAAGUACUUAUCACACCAGUUUGCAAAUACCCAGUGUUUACCUUAGAUGUCUAUUUCAUCUCAAUUUAAGGUUUUCUGGGCUUUGAACACUUAGAUUUCAGGUACAAAUC